rnacentral:rRNA from 1 species
CCCUUAGAUGUUCUGGGCCGCACGCGCGCUACACUGAUGCAUUCAACGAGCCUAGCCUUGACCGAGAGGUCCGGGUAAUCUUUGAAACUGCAUCGUGAUGGGGCUAGAUUAUUGCAAUUAUUAAUCUUCAACGAGGAAUGCCUAGUAAGCGUGAUUCAUCAAAUCGCGUUGAUUACGUCCCUGCCCUUUGUACACACCGCCCGUCGCUCCUACCGAUUGGACGUUUUAGUGAGCUCCUCGGAUUGUCAGCCUGGCGGUUAAUCCUGCCUGGCUAGCGAAAAGACGAGCAAACUUGAGCGUUUAGAGGAAGUAAAAGUCGUAACA